AGGAUUAACGCUGGCGGCGUGCCUAACACAUGCAAGUCGAACGAGGUAGCAAUACCUAGUGGCAGACGGGUGAGUAACGCGUGGUCAACCUACCGUUGAGUGGGGGAUAACUAGCCGAAAGGUUAGCUAAUACCGCAUACGAGUCUCGGGGGCAUCCCUGGGCCUUAAAAGGAGCAAUCCGCUCGAUGACGGGACCGCGUCCCAUUAGCUAGAUGGUGGGGUAACGGCCUACCAUGGCACCGAUGGGUAGCUGGUUUGAGAGAGCGACCAGCCACACUGGGACUGAGAAACGGCCCAGACUCCUACGGGAGGCAGCAGUGAGGAAUUUUCCGCAAUGGGCGAAAGCCUGACGGAGCGACGCCGCGUGUGGGAAGAAGGCCUUCGGGUCGUAAACCACUGUCGAAGGGGACGAGUAAUGACGGUACCCUUGGAGGAAGCCCCGGCUAACUACGCGCCAGCAGCCGC
rnacentral:rRNA from 1 species